UGAUUUCUCUUUCUCUCUUGAUGCCUCCCUAUUUUCUCUUAGCUUUUAUUUUGGUAUGCCAAGUAUCUAUUUUUGCUGGGCUGAUUGAUUCCACAUUGUGGGCUUGAUGAUUGAUACCACAUUAUGGGCUGAUUGAUUCCACAUUAUGGACUUUGGAAAUUCGAUUUAUUUUGGAAUCUUGGCAUAACAUGGUUUAGUUGGAUUCCAACAUAAAAACUAAACCUCAAUCUAUUUUCAAGCGUUGCCUUUGUGUAAUCUGGAGGGUAGUUUUAGUUUAGAGGGGUCAAUGGUUGUUUACUUUGUUGCGGGCUAAACCUUGACCGAAUUUCUUGUCUGUUUUUAUGGCUUUCAGGUGAAGAAGAAAAGACCAAGUACUUCAUCCAUGCAGUUCUGUACCAGUAGUAGUUAAGUCCCAAGAUAAUUUACCCUCUCGACAUCAAGAAGUAGGCUGAAAGGAGAGGACGUCAGAGCUGGGCGAAGGCAGCAACGCCAUUGGUUUGAGGCUGAAGUUGGUUGAGGCCCACUUGGAGAAGCGGUGCUGCGAGUCAGCCAUCAUGCUGGUGCUCAAAUACGAGAGCACUAACAAGGGCGUUUUUGAUGCUCACAUGGCGAUGGUGAACCAGUUUGCGUGGGAGGGAGUGUAGGGAAGGAAAGAGUUCCUGGUGGAGGUGUAGAUGCAGAUGGUGCUCACCCACCCAAACCUUGUCAGCCUGGUCGAGAUGAGAGGUUGCUGUGUGAGAGUACAUGCAGUUCCGCAUCCAGGAGAGACAUCUUUUUUGGCGAGUUCUUCUCACAAGUCAGACCUGCUGUUUGUUCUAGUUCAUAUGUCUGCAAAUCAGUCCGGUUAUAGAGUUGGUGGAGGUGAACAUUUCUUGGUCUGUUUUCGUGAAGGUGAUGGCCGGACUUAGCUUAGGUUCCACUUAAAGAAGUGUUAGUCGCAGGGACCUGGUGCAUGAAGUGGCAGACUGCUGUAGCGCUUCCGAAGGGGAAUACGUUCAACUGUUGUGUCCGUUUUGGUUGAUACUACCAAAUCCUUAUGGCGGGAUGGUGCGUCUCCAUGCAAUGAGAUCUGUAUUAUCAUUAUUACUGAGUGACGAAAUUAAUUCUUCAGAUUCAUUUCAUAUGUGCAUUACUAGAACUUGUUAUGUUUGCCCAUUCUGUGAUUUCCCUACAUGAAUAUAUCUAAGGUCUACCAUGAGUAUUGAUGGUGUGUUGCACAGGGAACAACAAGCGCAUUUUCUUUGGAGUGACCAUGACAUGAAUUCUGUGAUGGUUCGACAAGCCGAGCUUCAAGAAGCGGUAGUCGCUGGGACCUGGUACAUGGAGCGGCAGACUGGUGUAGCUCUUCCAAAUGGAAGAAGUCUAGCUACUGUGUCCAUUUUGGUUGAUACUACCGAAUCGUGUCGGAGGAUGCAAAAUUGAAAUUUUAUGCAUGGCCUAUCAGGACCGCGACCAGAGAAGCAUAGGGCGGUGAUGGGUGAAGAGAAUGGUAGCUAGGGCUUGAUGCUAGUUUGAUCCGUUUGUAGCUUUGGAAUUACAUUACUUUAUGGAUUUAGCUAAGCUGUUGUUAGUUGUCUCAUGAGCUGGGUUGUGGGCGUGAGGAUGUUAUAACUGGGGAUGAGUUGGGUCGUGGGUGUUUUUUGAUGUGCAUAUGCAAUCAUGGGCAGUGAGUCAAUGAAAUGUAUAUGCUGAUGCUCAUAUCUAUACAAUAUUUGUGGUCUCAUUUCGCUCACCUUGACAUGCAAUAUACUCUUGGAUUUUA